ACCAGACUCCUACGGGAGGCAGCAGUGGGGAAUAUUGCACAAUGGGGGAAACCCUGAUGCAGCGACGUCGCGUGAGUGAUGAAGUAUUUCGGUAUGUAAAGCUCUAUCAGCAGGGAAGAAAAUGACGGUACCUGACUAAGAAGCCCCGGCUAACUACGUGCCAGCAGCCGCGGUAAUACGUAGGGGGCAAGCGUUAUCCGGAUUUACUGGGUGUAAAGGGUGCGCAGGUGGCAGGGCAAGUCAGAUGUGAAAGCCCGGGGCUCAACCCCGGUAUUGCAUUUGAAACUGUCCGGCUAGAGUGCAGGAGAGGUAAGCGGAAUUCCUAGUGUAGCGGUGAAAUGCGUAGAUAUUAGGAGGAACACCAGUGGCGAAGGCGGCUUACUGGACUGUAACUGACACUGAGGCACGAAAGCGUGGGGAGCAAACAGGAUUAGAUACCCUUGUAC
rnacentral:rRNA from 1 species